AUAAGAGGUUCUACCUGUUGUGGCUGAGGUUGUUAGUAGAGGUUAUAAGAGGUUCUACCUGUUGUGGCUGAGGUUGUUAUUAGAGGUUAUAAGAGGUUCUACCUGUUGUGGCUGAGGUUGUUGUUAGAGGUUAUAAGGCCUGUUAGUCACCUGUUAUAACAUAUUAUAAGGGGUUCUACCUGUUGUGGCUGAGGUUGUUGUUAGAGGUUAUAAGGCCUGUUAGUCACCUGUUAUAACAUAUUAUAAGUGGUUCUACCUGUUGUGGC